rnacentral:rRNA from 1 species
UCAGGAUGAACGCUAGCUACAGGCCUAACACAUGCAAGUCGAGGGGCAGCAUGGUCGAAGCUUGCUUGACUGAUGGCGACCGGCGAAUGGGUGAGUCACGCGUGUCCAACCUGCCCUGUGCCCGGGGGAUAGCCCUUGGAAAUGAGGAUUAACACCCGAUACGUGGCGCUUCCGCAUGGCGGCGCCAUGAAACCGACACAGGAUGGGGACGCGUCGGAUUAGCUUGACGGCGGGGCAACGGCCCACCGUGGCGACGAUCCGCAGGGGUUCUGAGAGGAAGGUCCCCCACACUGGCACUGAGACACGGGCCAGACUCCUACGGGAGGCAGCAGUGAGGAAUAUUGGUCAAUGGCCGAGAGGCUGAACCAGCCAAGUAGCGUGCAGGAUGACGGCCCUACGGGUUGUAAACUGCUUUUGCGGGAGGAUAAAGUGCACUACGUGUAGUGCUUUGCAGGUAUCCCGUGAAUAAGGACCGGCUAAUUCCGUGCCAGCCGCGGC